UCCUACGGGAGGCAGCAGUGGGGAAUAUUGCACAAUGGGGGAAACCCUGAUGCAGCGACGCCGCGUGAGUGAAGAAGUAUUUCGGUAUGUAAAGCUCUAUCAGCAGGGAAGAUAAUGACGGUACCUGACUAAGAAGCCCCGGCUAACUACGUGCCAGCAGCCGCGGUAAUACGUAGGGGGCAAGCGUUAUCCGGAUUUACUGGGUGUAAAGGGAGCGUAGGUGGCAAGGCAAGUCAGAUGUGAAAACCCGGGGCUCAACCCCGGGACUGCAUUUGAAACUGUCUAGCUAGAGUGCAGGAGAGGUAAGUGGAAUUCCUAGUGUAGCGGUGAAAUGCAUAGAUAUUAGGAGGAACACCAGUGGCGAAGGCGGCUUACUGGACUGUAACUGACACUGAGGCUCGAAAGCGUGGGGAGCAAACAGGAUUAGAUACCCUGGUAGUCC
rnacentral:rRNA from 1 species